ACAACUGCAGCGAGAGAAGAGGCUGGCAGCAUGGGUGGCAGGAGGCUUGGCAGCCUCACAGGAUGCCUGCAAAUACCUUUCACUUAUGCAGUUUGGCAGUGCAGUGGUGCAUGGAGACAGCGUCUUGGGCCUGAUCAUUUCAGAGCCACCUCAGGCUACCAGCAAUGUAUGACCUGCCCUUUUCUGUAAUGGAGAAGCACCAAGGAGAUGUUUCUUCUACCUCUUCCAGAUAUAGCUUGAGAUGAACCAUCCAAUCUCCUGCCUCGAGUAUUGAAGCCUGGCUACUGUGACUGUGGGGAAGGGAUUAAUGGUCUCAGCAUUCAGUCACAUUUCAAAGGCCAGAUCUUUCCCAGGGCUUAAGCUGUUCCUUGGAUACUUUUGCUGAUGGUUUACACAUCUUCUUCCCACAUUAUAUUGUAACUUUCUU
rnacentral:antisense_RNA from 1 species